rnacentral:lncRNA from 10 species
CUCCUCCCCUCUCCAGGCACAGGCAACCCAAGGCUAGAGAUGGGACAGGAGGAUGGGGUGAGUGGGAGCAGCCUGUGAGAUCCCCUGGAGAGGCCUUGGUGGGGCUGAAAGAGGAGCAGAGGUGGGAGUAGGCACAGGGCCCUACAAUUGUAGGAGAACUCCAGGCUCCCCGCUUGGCUGAGCCGAUCCUCCACCCCCAGCCCAUCAGCAGAGGCCCACCUGCCCCUCUCAUCUCAUCUCCUGGGUACUCCAACUGGCUAAACAACAGCCCUACCCCCAGUGCUGUGCCUUUGCACAUGCUGCCACCCCCAUCCCCGCUCCUCCUGCUCUAUUGUGGCAGCCUCUCCCCAAAAUGCAACCCCAGGGCCCUGCCCUCAGAAGGCCUCCUGGACCGCCAAGCCCUCAUGUGGCCCUGCUGUCCGUCCCUGCAGCCUCCGUCCCUGAGCCUAGACCCUGAGCCUGGCCCGACAAGGAUCUGGAGAACAUGACAUCACAGUUGAUACAACAGAGUCUCCGAUGGCCCGACCCAGGCAGAGACCUCGGAUCUCUGUGGAAGGACGAGCGGCGGGGAACCAGGCAGACAUGAGCAGACACCGUCUGUGUCCACUACACACUCCUGCUGAUGCGGUGUGGUGAAGACAAGUCUGCCCAGACACAACACCACGAGGCAGGAAGCACGGAGGUUGGGGGGACCCUGGGGAGGGCGGGCAGCCCAAGCCCAGCAGGCACCUGCUUCUGCCGCUGCCUCACUCUGCAGCCCUUGGGCGUGGCUAUUGCGGCUGCUGACCCUGCUGCAAUCCCCAGUUCUAGCCAUUCUCUUUUCUGGGCCUCCAAGGUCAUUCAUCAGACAUAUUUGUCUCCACAAAUAUCCAAGGUUUAAUACUCUCUGUAUUUGUUUCUAAUUCAGGCAUCAUAAAAUUCUGAACUUGCUAUUUAGAAUAUGAAAUUGCUAAUGGAAGAUUGUUAAAAAAAGACUAGAAAUUUUUAAAUUUCUGGCACAGUAGCUGCUCCAGACAGCCUGCCACUGCUGCAGCGGGGAGGUGCUACCCGGGCUACACGUUCCAUGGAGCUGGCAGGAGCCCUGCCCCUUCUGAGUUGCAAGUCUGUAACUUCUGCAGCCACCCAAGUUGUGGCUGCAGAUCUGAGCCUUCCUGUGCUCUUGCGGGGCAAGCAGGUAGGAGCCCUGUUCUCCUGGGUGCCACUGCAGCCACCCAAACUGUGGCUGCAGACCCGGGCCUCCUGCUCCACAGAAUAGCCAGGAGCCCUGCCUCCUCUGGACGCACCUGCAGCCACCCAAACUGGUGGCUGCAGCUUCAGGCAUCCCUCCACUCUUGGGGGCCUGGGAAGGCCCCCCCUCCCCGCCCUCACAGGCUCAAAAGUACCUGCCCCCACUGCCUGGCUUCUCCCUACUGUUGGCUGUCAACACCCACUCUGAUCUCAGAGUAAAGCUGGGCUGAGCAGGGGCCAUGAAUGGCAGUGGGAGGCGGAUUCCUGGGCAGAAGCCGGGGAUACCCGAUAAGACCCCACUUUCAGACCAGGGAGGGCCUGAAGGCUGAAGGCUGGGCUGCCAGAUCCACAGACCAGAGUGGGGACCUGUGGUACCUCUUCUGGGUGCCCAUGCACCAACUGGCAUGCAUUUCCUCCUCUCUGAGGUCCGUAAACACCCCAGUCUCAGCCAGAGCAAGGCAGAGGAUGGAGAAACAACUGGAGACUGGAUGACCAGCUGCAGAGAGGAGCUACCUUCUCUACUGAGAGCUGGGAAGUCAACAGGGACCUGCCUGCAGAGUGGAGCCACCCACUCCAGGGCCUCCAGGGCCUCCUCCCUAUGGAGAGCUGAACACUGGAGGAGAUGACCUGCUUACAGAGAGGAGCUGCCCACUGCGGGUCUCCUCUGAGCUGUCCUAAGAUUCAGUAGAGCUUUUCUUUGUCUUGCUCACCCUCCACUUGUCUGUGUACCUCAUUCUUCCUGGACACAGGACAAGAACUCAGGCAAAGGCUGGGAUUACAGGCGUGAGCCCCUGUGCCCGGCCCAGUACCUUGACUUUGCUGCAAUGCAUU